rnacentral:rRNA from 1 species
UAUGAACGCUGGCGGCGUGCCUAAUACAUGCAAGUCGAGCGAACAGACGAGGAGCUUGCUCCUCUGACGUUAGCGGCGGACGGGUGAGUAACACGUGGAUAACCUACCUAUAAGACUGGGAUAACUUCGGGAAACCGGAGCUAAUACCGGAUAAUAUAUUGAACCGCAUGGUUCAAUAGUGAAAGACGGUUUUGCUGUCACUUAUAGAUGGAUCCGCGCCGCAUUAGCUAGUUGGUAAGGUAACGGCUUACCAAGGCAACGAUGCGUAGCCGACCUGAGAGGGUGAUCGGCCACACUGGAACUGAGACACGGUCCAGACUCCUACGGGAGGCAGCAGUAGGGAAUCUUCCGCAAUGGGCGAAAGCCUGACGGAGCAACGCCGCGUGAGUGAUGAAGGUCUUCGGAUCGUAAAACUCUGUUAUUAGGGAAGAACAAAUGUGUAAGUAACUGUGCACGUCUUGACGGUACCUAAUCAGAAAGCCACGGCUAACUACGUG